AAGUCCAUCGUCACCUUGGGGCUAGAUCACAAAGUUACAAAUUCCCAAUCUUCCUUUGACAUGUCUAGAAAUUCAACUGCACCGUCUUCAAACAUUAUCGCAUGUUUUCUUGAAUGCUUAUCAAAUCGUUUGAUCAUCCCAAAAGAUCUAUCAUUAUAUGGACGAAAUAUUUUAAUCACUUCACCAAUGCAAUUACGAGAACAUGUCUGUCGUUUACUGUGAGCAUGCUGUGAAUUCCCUGUAUGCAAACCUCCAUUCUGAUAAACAUCUUUCCCAGAUAAAAUUGCUUUCAAUUUAGGAGAGGACACUGCCACCUGGCAUGCUACUAAUUUUAAUGCAGCAUCUGAAGACA
rnacentral:misc_RNA from 1 species